rnacentral:rRNA from 1 species
UACGUAGGGGGCGAGCGUUGUUCGGAAUCAUUGGGCGUAAAGGGCGCGUAGGCGGCCGAUCAAGUCGGAGGUGAAAUCCCUCGGCUCAACUGAGGAAUUGCCUCCGAUACUGUUCGGCUUGAGUCCUGGAGAGGGUAGUGGAAUUCCCAGUGUAGCGGUGAAAUGCGUAGAUAUCUGGAGGAACACCGGUGGCGAAGGCGGCAUCCUGGACCGGUAUUGACGCUGAGGCGCGAAAGCCAGGGGAGCAAACGGG